CCACUGUUGUUUCCAUGACACUGGGAACCUGGACCACCUAGAACUGCCUCCUUCCAAGCGACACUGGGGCUGGCUCCCCAUCUGAGCCGUCUGGAGACCCUGUGGCUGGCAGGCGACGCCGUCCCCCCGCCCAGGGCCAAGGGGGAGCAGGGCUGUGGAGAGCAUGACCCCCUUGUUAAACCACGUCUGCCUUUAUGCCUCGAUACACCACACAGAGAGAUGACGGGAGAUACCACCAAGAUGAGAUGCCAACCCGGGAGAGGCUCUGCAGGUCCCCUGGUGCCCACGUCUACCUGGCUUGUCCCCACAGGUGGGUUUUCUGAGACAAGGGGGCUUUUGGACACAGGUCUGUCCCCAGAGCCAGCCAGCAGCUCCAGAGAAGAGACAGCAGGUGCCCAGGACGAUGCGGCUUAGUUGCCAGGUUGCCACGAAACAUCCAAUAUUUGAAAGUGUUCUAUGGACCUCAAAGGGCAAGAGACACCUUAAAAUGUUUGCUGGAUGGCUGUAGGAGGGUAGAGCCCUGGUGGGCACACCUGGUGGUGAGCUUGGAGGCGAGGCUCUGCUGCUCAUGUUCAUGGAGUCCCACGUCCACCAGGCCCUUUGAAUCUCGAGUUUCUGGCUUCAGAUGCCCCCAGGUUUCCAGAAGUCAAGAUUUCUAACAAAUGGACCCAAACCCCAAGCCAGCACCUGGAAGUGGCAGCAACACGGCUGUGUGGACCCCGGUGCUGGGAACCUUCUGGAGGCAGCUGGACACAGGGGCUGCCAGUGUGGAGAGGGACGCUGCUCAUUUUGACAUUUCAUCUGAAUAACGUUCCAAGUGUUCUAAUGAAAGCCUCUGCGCUCCCUUUGAAAUACUAGCAAUUACAAAGAUGAAUAAUUGCAUGAUAAAUAUUAAUUUGCACCAUCGUAAUGAGGCCCAGAAGCAUCCUGCUGCUAACCUGAGUUUCACCCUGUCACCCAGGGUGGAGUGCAGUGGUACUAUCUCGGCUCUCGGCAACCUCUGCUCCUGGGUUCAAG
rnacentral:lncRNA from 1 species